CUUGUAUAUCUGUUAUGCUUUUCUGAAACAUUUUUGCCUUGUACAAAUCUAAGCUAACAUCUAAAGAAAUAAUGAUACAGAAUGUACAUCCCAUUAGAAUCUAUACACAAAAUCCUGUUAAAGAUUUUCGAGACCUCCACAGGCUUCUCUAAAAAGGCCAUUACGAGGCUGUCUUUCCUCCGAUUUCAACAAGGGGAAAAAUUGGCCAUUUCAACCUGAAUUUACUGGAACACCAAAAAAAAGACACUCGUCUUAACCUAGGAAAAUCGGCGCAACAGCUUCUUUAGACUUAGCAAUCUUAGCUGCUUCAGCUAUUCUAAGUGCCAUCAUUGCUUUGUAAGUUGCUAGAUCAGCGUUCUCCAUCAGCUGCUGCGCCUUCUGUCUCAUCCGAACUGCCAAAUCCUCCGACUUGUUUGCAGCAGCUUUUGCUUCUUUCACCUUCAGUACUGCAUUUUGUUGCUGUACAGCAUCUUU
rnacentral:misc_RNA from 1 species